GAGGCCAUGCCUGCCCAGUGACUGUUUAACGGCCGCGGUAUCCUAACCGUGCAAAGGUAGCGUAAUCACUUGUCUUUUAAAUAAAGACUUGUAUGAAAGGCUUCACGAAGGUUGUACUGUCUCCUUUUUCUAAUCAGUAAACCUAAUCUCCCUGUGAAGAAGCGGGGAUAAUUAUAUAAGACGAGAAGACCCUAUGGAGCUUAAAACAAUUAUAUGUUUUCGGUUGGGGUGACCGCGGAGAACAAUUUAUCCUCCAUGAUGAAAAACAAGCCACAACUUUAAGUAUCAAAAAUUUGACAUAAAUGAUCCAAUACUUUGAUCAACGAACCAAGUUACCCUAGGGAUAACAGCGCAAUCCACUUUAAGAGUCCUUAUUAACAAGUGGGCUUACGACCUCGAUGUUGGAUCAGGGUAUCCUAGUGGUGCAGCCGCUACUAAAGGU
rnacentral:rRNA from 1 species